GUUUUUUUUUGGUUUUUCUUCGCUUCUGAUUUCUUGCUAGGUUUGUGUGUGAAAUGAUCGGACCAAAUCAAUUCAUGUAAAAAAAAAAAAAACUUGAA
rnacentral:sRNA from 1 species